rnacentral:rRNA from 1 species
AGCGAACGCUGGCGGCAGGCCUAACACAUGCAAGUCGAACGAACCUUUCGGGGCUAGUGGCGGACGGGUGCGUAACACGUGGGAACGUGCCUUUAGGUUCGGAAUAACUCAGGGAAACUUGUGCUAAUACCGAAUGUGCCCUUCGGGGGAAAGAUUUAUCGCCUUUAGAUCGGCCCGCGUCUGAUUAGCUAGUUGGUUGGGGUAAUGGCUCACCAAGGCGACGAUCAGUAGCUGGUCUGAGAGGAUGAUCAGCCACAUUGGGACUGAGACACGGCCCAAACUCCUACGGGAGGCAGCAGUGGGGAAUCUUGCGCAAUGGGCGAAAGCCUGACGCAGCCAUGCCGCGUGAAUGAUGAAGGUCUUAGGAUUGUAAAAUUCUUUCACCGGGGACGAUAAUGACGGUACCCGGAGAAGAAGCCCCGGCUAACUUCGUG